GACGAACGCUGGCGGCGUGCUUAACACAUGCAAGUCGAACGAAGAGCGAUGGAAGCUUGCUUCUAUCAAUCUUAGUGGCGAACGGGUGAGUAACGCGUAAUCAACCUGCCCUUCAGAGGGGGACAACAGUUGGAAACGACUGCUAAUACCGCAUACGAUCUAAACUCGGCAUCGAGGAUAGAUGAAAGGUGGCCUCUACAUGUAAGCUAUCACUGAAGGAGGGGAUUGCGUCUGAUUAGCUAGUUGGAGGGGUAACGGCCCACCAAGGCGAUGAUCAGUAGCCGGUCUGAGAGGAUGAACGGCAACAUUGGGACUGAGACACGGCCCAGACUCCUACGGGAGGCAGCAGUGGGGAAUCUUCCGCAAUGGACGAAAGUCUGACGGAGCAACGCCGCGUGAGUGAUGACGGCCUUCGGGUUGUAAAGCUCUGUUAAUCGGGACGAAAGGCCUUCUUGCGAAUAGUGAGAAGGAUUGACGGUACCGGAAUAGAAAGCCACGGCUAACUACGUG
rnacentral:rRNA from 1 species